GAUCCUGGCUCAGGACGAACGCUGGCGGCGUGCCUAACACAUGCAAGUCGAGCGGAGACAGUGAGUAGCUUGCUAUGAGCUGUUUUAGCGGCGGACGGGUGAGUAACGCGUGAGCAACCUUUCCCAGACAGGGGAAUAACACACCGAAAGGUGUACUAAUACCGCAUAAGACCACGGGAUCACAUGGUUCUGGGGUAAAAGAUUUAUCGGUUUAGGGGUGGGCUCGCGUCCGAUUAGGUAGUUGGUGAGGUAACGG
rnacentral:rRNA from 1 species